GAUUGUUUCCUGCCUUGUGCCCUGUGUUGGCUGGGAUUGGCUCCAGCAGACCCCCGUGACCCUGUGUUCGGAUUCAGCGGGUUAGAAAAUAGAUGGAUGGAUGGAAAUAAUGCAUAAAUUCAAACACAAAUGUUAUUGUAUCGCACUUCUAUGAUGAAUAAGCGACUCAUCAGUGAGAGAGUUCUUGUCUACCAGUAACGUUUCAGUUCAAACUUGAAAGAAGAAUCACAAUUGAAGUUAACGAGAAUCAUGAAUCAUGUGCUGCUUUGCAGUAAGGAGAUUGUGGGUUCACUUCCUGGGUCCUCCCUGAGUGGAAAAGCACUAUAUAAAUGUAAGAAGUAUUGUUAUUUAGAGAGUGCAGGCAGGAUGGAGUGGGUGGAGAAGAGUGUCAGGAGUGAUUUGUGACAGACAGGUAUCAGCAAGAGUGAAAGGGAAGGACGGUAGUGAGACCAGCUAUGUUAUAUGGGCUGAAGACGGUGGCACAGGAGACAGAGCUGGAGAUGGCAGAGUUAAAGAUGAUAAGAUUUGCAUUGGGUGUGACGAGGAUGGACAGGAUUAGAAAUGAGGACAUUAGAGGGUCAGCUCAGAUUGGACGGUUGGGAGACAAAUUCAGAGAGGCGAGAUUACGUUGGUGUGGACAUGUGCAGAGGAGAGAUGUUGGGUAUAUUGGGAGAAGGGUGCUAAGGAUAGAGCUGCCAGGCAAGAGGAGAAGAGGAAGGCCUAAGAGAAGGUUUAUGGAUGUGGUGAGAGAGGACAUGCAGGUGAUGGGUGUGACAGAGCAAGAUGACAAGGACAGGAAGAUAUGGAAAAAGAUGAUACGCUGUGGUAACCCCUAACAGGAACAGCCAA